rnacentral:tRNA from 1 species
CGGGAUGUGGCUCAGCUUGGUAGAGCGCGGAGUUUGGGACUCUGAGGUCGCAGGUUCGAAUCCUGUCAUCCCGA